UCCAACUUCACCAAUCGUGAACUGUCACCGUACAUGACGUCUUACGCUUUGAGCGGCUUUCUCUUCUUGGCCAUGUUCUGUUAUAAUCUCCACCCGGCACAGCCAGAAGAGGACUGGCCACCCCUCAUAGCCUGGUUCCUCUCUAGGUUUAUAAUCUCCACCCGGCACAGCCAGAAGAGGACUGGCCACCCCACAUAGCCUGGUUCCUCUCUAGGUUUAUAAUCUCCACCCGGCACAGCCAGAAGAGGACUGGCCACCCCUCAUAGCCUGGUUCCUCUCUAGGUUUAUAAUCUCCACCCGGCACAGCCAGAAGAGGACUGGCCACCCCACAUAGCCUGGUUCCUCUCUAGGUUUAUAAUCUCCACCCGGCACAGCCAGAAGAGGACUGGCCACCCCACAUAGCCUGGUUCCUCUCUAGGUUUAUAAUCUCCACCCGGCACAGCCAGAAGAGGACUGGCCACCCCACAUAGCCUGGUUCCUCUCU